rnacentral:rRNA from 1 species
AACGAACGCUGGCGGCAUGCCUAACACAUGCAAGUCGAACGAGACCUUCGGGUCUAGUGGCGCACGGGUGCGUAACGCGUGGGAACCUGCCCUUAGGUUCGGAAUAACUCCCCGAAAGGGGUGCUAAUACCGGAUAAUGUCUUCGGACCAAAGAUUUAUCGCCUUUGGAUGGGCCCGCGUUGGAUUAGCUAGUUGGUAGGGUAAAAGCCUACCAAGGCGACGAUCCAUAGCUGGUCUGAGAGGAUGAUCAGCCACACUGGGACUGAGACACGGCCCAGACUCCGACGGGAGGCAGCAGUGGGGAAUAUGGGAGAAUGGGAGCAAGCCUGAUAGAGCAAUACCGCGUGGGUGAUGAAGGCCUUCGGAUUGUAAAGCUCUGUUGUGGGGAAAGAAAAGAAGCAGGUUAAUACCCCGCUGUACUGACGGUACCCAAAGAAUAAGCAACGGCUAACUUCGUG